rnacentral:rRNA from 1 species
AUUGAACGCUGGCGGCAUGCCUUACACAUGCAAGUCGAACGGUAACGGGCCUUCGGGUGUCGUCGUGUGGCGCACGGGUGUGUAAUACCUCGGAACGUGCCCGAUCGUGGGGGAUAACGAGGCGAAAGCUUUGCUCAUACCUCAUACGCACUACGGCUGAAAGCAGGGGGCCGCUAGGCCUUGCGCGGUCGGAGCGGCCGACGGCUGAUAAGGUAGUUGGUGGGAUAAACGCUUACCAAGCCGACGGUCUGUAGCUGGUAUGAGUGUAUGAUCCGCCACACUGGGACUGAGACACGGCCCAGACUCCUACGGGAGGCAGCAGUGGGGAAUUUUGGACAAGGGGCGAAAGCCUGAUCCAGCCAUGCCGCGUGCAGGAUGAAGACCUUCGGGUUGUAAACUGCUUUUGUACGGAACGAAAAGCCUUCUUGUAAUACAGGAGGGUCAUGACGAUACCGUAAGAAUAAGCACCGGCUAACUACGUG